CACAAAUGUUCUGCGCGCGGCCUCCAGGGAAAACCUGACACUGAGCUAGAAAUGUCUAAAUUGUUUUAUUUCGUUCCUUUAAUGUUAAUGAGAAUGGCAUUGAAUAUUUUGUCGAUUGCUUUUACCGUUAUACUGCAGUUAUAAGUAUCAACCGCUGCCCUUUUCAGAUUUGGAAUCUGAAAAUGAAGUCAUGAAUCUGAAAGUGAAAUAGUUUGCUCUGUUCGUUAUAAAUAUGCUUCGGUCGGUAGCGAUCAAAUCCAUUGGACAUCGACACAGGUUUCCGAGUGUCCUGAAAGAAAAAAAAAUUGAAUCAACAACGAAUGGUUGAUAAGGUUUUUUUAUAUUAUCAGUCAAUAUGAGUGGACUUUAAUUAAGGGCAUAGGACAGGACUUUAAUUCGCGACAUAAUAGGUAUGUGGAUCGAACAUGUGAUACAGUGGAACUGCGAUACAGUUGAACUGCAAUAAAAAACCAAACAUAUUCCUUGUGAUACAGUGGAACUGCAAUAAAAAACCGAACAUUGAAAACAUCUUUGAAAACUAAAUUUCAUGUGUAAUCAAAUUAUGCUGUACCUAUUAUGCUAAUAUAAUUUUUCAAAAGAAACACGGGCCUAACUUGAAUUUACCACACUAAAUUCUGAACACUGACUUUAGAUAACGUAAAAUGUAAUUUAAAAACUUAGGUAUAAUCUGACCCCGACACCUCCCAAUGACAAAGUCUUCACCACUUCAGUGCCCAUGUUUUGGGUUUGCAAGCUGUUAUAAUAUUUAGGUUUUUGUUUCAUAUUUUAGCUACGUCUUUAGUAAUUAUUUGAUGUAUACAAUUAUCUAGCUAUAAAGUAGAUAGAUUCUCACAAAAACAGUAUCUCUUUUGGCAAAGCAUUUUGCAUGGUUGUAGAAAUUUUCAACUCUGUGAUGUUACUCUGAGUGUAGAUCCACACCGGGCAAGGUGAAACGUUUGCCUUACCACGGUGGGAAUCGACUCGCGACCUUUGGGAUACUAGUCCAAUGCUCUGCCAACUGAGCUACGAGGUCAAGUCGGUUCGAAUUGGUGAUAUUUCGGAACUGAGUCUAGUUCCUUCGACAUCAGUGUAUUCUGUAUGAUACUUUUUGUGUGUGUUGGUGUUAUGUACUCAGGUGAAUAAUGAUGUUUAUGAAUGGCUUGCAAUGAUGUUCGCUUCUUCAUGGUGUUGUCGCUUGUCAGUGAUAGACCCUAUGAUUAAACUGUUCUUCAAUUUCUAGGCUCCGUUAGAGAUCAAAUUGGACGAUGGCAACAAAAAGAGAUAUAGCUGAAGAUUGCAAAUUUGGACCAUAUACUGCACCUGAUUGUGGUAUGCAUUUAUAUAGAUAUGUUAAAUUUCACUUUGUUUUGUUCUCUAUUUUG